AAGCCAUCCCCUCCAAGGACUGUAGAGCAAUUAGCCAAACUCCUCCUCUCCCAGUAGAUCGGAGAGGUAGUAGAUUUUUCGGUGUCAUUCCUUUUUGCCCUAACAGAGUUUGUUAGACUUAUCUCUUAAUAACUCACUAACUGUUGCUGGCACAUCGCUUAUCUCUUGUGGAAACAGCCAUGAGUUUUUUUACUCGAAAUUCCAGCCACUUUUCUGUGAAACUCUUUGGUUUGAUGCUUAUCUCUUCGCUCCGGUUCACCAGCGAUGCUGACGUCUCUCCCACCAAAGUGAACAUCAGAGCAAUUUCAGAGGACUCAUUCGAGUGUGUGACAGAAGAGAGCCCAAAUGCAAACGUUACCUGGUACAGAUCUGACCAGUCUUUGCUGCAGUCUGCUGUCAAAGUAGAGGGUGCAAAGCUACAACUGCUGAGUCUGAGUUU